ACUUCCGGGCAGCAGUCGAUAAAUGUCACUUUGUUUUGCUUUGGUUAUGCUCAGAUGACAGCAUUAAAAUGAACCUACAGCCAAUAUAGAUUCCCAACUUAUGCAAAAAGAGGAAGAAGUGGAUUUAUAGAUGCAGAUGCUGUUAUAUACAUCAUUUCCUUCAGAUGUAUCAAUGUGUUGGUGACUGUUAUGAAGAGAAUGGGCCCAUUUUAACAACUUCUAGGAUGGGCGGUACAGGGUUCAUACCAGUGAUCAAUUUGUCAUGACUCUUAUGAAGUUGCACCUAAAUCUGAGGGAUCUACAUUUAGCAAGCCAGAGGGCUCAAUGCCGAAUUUACCUCUGAAAGAAUCGUAAUGGAUACAACAAACAGAACACUGGAUUUAAUUUUAAAAAUGAAUAACUAGUCAUUAUCUGACAGCAACUACAUUGUGCAAAAUUUGUCACACAGCAAAGGCUAUCACUUGUGUAGCACAAUUGUUCUGAAUUCUAUCCUGGAUCCACCUUUGAUGGUGACAUUGUUGAUCACUGAGGUGUAUUGGAGAUGUUGAAGCCAGAUGAUAUAUGAUUCUUGCUAAUAAAGGAUUUGAUA